AUGCGAAUGUAUAAGCGUUGGGAGAAAGCCAGAGCCGGAUGCCCAGCUUGGCCUCCGAGAGAUCACAUCCGACCCAGGGCAGGGAUCUGUCCCUGUCGCCUAGCUCCCCGAGUUCCAGAAUUGGGAUUGGCGGCGCUGUCGCUACUACGGGAGCGCGCUACGGCGCAGACAGGGUUAACCUCGCGACGCCCGGGCAGGGGGAGGAGGGGGCGGGGCCGGAGGAGGGGAUCCCCGGCGUCCGGGGAGGAGCCCGCUCGGGCUUCCCGGGUCCCCCUGGCGGGGGCGGAGGGCUUUCCCCGGGAGCGCCCGCUCACAUUUGCACGUUCUCCCGAACAUGAGGGGCUGGCGCCCCUGGCCGCCAGGUCCGGGGCUCUGACGCUCAGGCGGUCCAGCAGCCUGAGUGGACCUGCAGUACAGACACAAAGCAAAGGCGGGUCACGAAUGCGCAGACGCCAAGCAUCCUUAUCAAGACCAGACUGCAGUGGCUGGAUCUACUUUCCAUGCACUCCCUCCUUAUGCCUAUCACACAGCUAUUGGAUAAGGUUUCUAGAUCAGUCUCAUUAUUAUUGAUCAACCAAACCAACCAAUGGAAUGUGUCCAAUAUACUCACUUGUAAAGUUGCAGAAGUUUAUCAACUUUUCUGGAACCCAGAAGACUCAGGAAAUAGCUUUUUCUGAGUAGUCCACAAUAAGAAAGAAAACUCACACUUUAGGCUGUUGACAUAUGAAAUCUAUGAGCAGUAUUCAUAUGAUUAUUCUAAUCAAAGUCACUCCAUUUUCGUGUUCUCACCAC
rnacentral:lncRNA from 1 species